rnacentral:tRNA from 1 species
GGAGGGGUAACCCUAAUUGGUAAGGGCCCUGUCUUGAAAACAGGCGGGCGAAAGCCCUUGUGAGUUCGAGUCUCUCCCCCUCCG